AUCUUGCGCAAUGGGGGAAACCCUGACGCAGCCACGCCGCGUGGAGGAUGACACCCCUAUGGGGCGUAAACUCCUUUUCUGCGGGAAGAACGCCGGCCUCGGGCCGGGAUGACGGUACCGCAGGAAUAAGCACCGGCUAACUCCGUGCCAGCAGCCGCGGUAAUACGGAGGGUGCUAGCGUUGUUCGGAAUUACUGGGCGUAAAGGGUGCGUAGGCGGCUUGCCAAGUCGGGCGUGAAAGCCCCGGGCUCAACCCGGGAUGUGCGUCCGAGACUGGUAGGCUUGAGUUCGGGAGAGGUGAGUGGAAUUCCCAGUGUAGAGGUGAAAUUCGUAGAUAUUGGGAAGAACACCGGUGGCGAAGGCGGCUCACUGGACCGACACUGACGCUGAGGCACGAAAGCGUGGGGAGCAAACAGG
rnacentral:rRNA from 1 species